rnacentral:rRNA from 1 species
CACGUAGGGGGCAAGCGUUGUCCGAAUUUAUUGGGCGUAAAGAGCUCGUAGGCGGCUCAGUAAGUCGGGUGUGAAACCUCCAGGCUCAACCUGGAGACGCCACCCGAUACUGCUGUGGCUUGAGUCCGGUAGGGGAGCGUGGAAUUCCUGGUGUAGCGGUGAAGUGCGCAGAUAUCAGGAGGAACACCAGCGGCGAAGGCGGCGCUCUGGGCCGGAACUGACGCUGAGGAGCGAAAGCGUGGGUAGCAAACAGG